ensembl:lncRNA
CGGUACAACCCCGGAGCCCCGCAAACACCUCCAGAGGCCGGGAACGGCCGGAUUAAGUCCGGAAAAAGACGCCAGAACCCGGACUACUAUACCAAACACCCCCAAAACCCGGACAAAGUUCCCAAACACCUCCAAAGGCCGGGAACGGCCGGAUCAACUUUAAAUUACCGCCGGGAACUCCCGCUCUCUGGAACUUCGUUUGGUUCAAGUCAUCCAUCCAGCACACCCACCAUUCCAGCACGAGUGUCCGAGAAUAGUACUUCAUCAUCGGACACGCGCCGGGAACUACCGCCGUAUGGAACUUUGUUCAGCUCAAGUCAUUCAUCCAGGACACAAAAUGUACAUUUACAUACAGAAAGACAGACUCACUGUCUUACGACCUCUCUUCCCUUUGCCUCGACGCAGCCUUGAAGCUGCCUGUUAGCCACAAAUCUGCGCCAGCUCCCUCGGCAACUGGAAACUGUGAACAAAGAUGGCGGACCAAACUCCGCUGACAGCCGUGUUUUGUAUGUACAUGUACAUUAUUCGGCGUUUUCUCGCUUAGAUUUUUCAAAAGUUACCGAGAAAUAGACACUGUACUAUCCGAUAACACCGUUAUUGUAACCAGUAAUAAUGGUUGAUAGCCUAUGAUUUGCGAGGCGAACACGUUUUCUAACACAGCCUGUAUGUAAUGUCAAUUUAGAUCAAAUGAGUUAAUACAACACUUUGGAAUUGAUACACAUAACUUGAAAGUCUACCAGAAGUUGAUCAAACUCAAAAUGACUGAGUCAUUAUGGCUGCAGUUCAAUUAUGAGUUCAUGUUAGUGUAUCACUCAAGUAGCUACAACUUUCUAUGCCAUUUAAGUUGGGUUAGCUUACCUCUUUUAUUAAGAUGAGCUGGUAGGUUUUACAGUCUAUAUGUAUUAUCCUUGUGUUAAAUAAAAAUAAAGUGUAGUGCUCUGAAUAACUUGAAAACUGAACAUUUAACGGGGGCACCUGCCCGAAUGGGCCGCAGGUGUUCCAGUGAUGGCCGUUAGUGAUGUGUCGUUCGUGAACGAUUCGUUCAUUUUGAGCGAAUCCUUACGAGGACUCGAGAGUAACGAGUCCUCUCAAAAAAAGAUUCGUUCAUUUUCUCGUGGCCACGCAUCGGGACUUGCAUCGGCUCAGCCAAGGAAACAGAACUGAUUCGUUGAACGCAGGUCACGUGGAAAAUGAUCCUUCUGCCAACCAAGUGGUACCAGUGCUGAGCAGGUCACGUGAGAAAUGAACGAUGAACGAUUCAUUGACCCGAAGGCUCGGUUGGCAGAUGAACGAAACAUUGACGAAACAUCUGCCGGAUACAGAUCUUUAAAUCAUUUUUCACGUGACCUGCAUAGGCUCAGCACUGAUCCACGCUAGCAUCGGGCUAACGUCCCCAUCCAUCCACGCUAGCAUCAGGCUAAUGAUCCCAUCCAUCCACGCUAGCAUCAGGCUAACGUCCCCGUCCAUCCACGCUAGCAUCAAGCGAACCCUUACAUACAACACAUAAUAACAACCUCGCUACCAGACUGUGGACUUCACCGCUUUGUUAUAAAGUCCGGCGGUACGAGCGCAGGCUGAACUUCAGGUGACCUGCGUAGGCUCAGCAGCACUGGUAGCGAUAAGCAGUCAGCGUUCUUUCUCUGCGCUAGCAGGUUGCCAUCGCCGUCUGAGCCGUCGUGUUUUCAAACGAAAAUACCAUCCAACCGUAUUGGUUUAAAGACGAUUUUUUUAGCUCAAGUCCAUCGUAUAUCUUCUUAUUUUCUUCUUUGACCAUCCAGCUUUUACACUGACGUUCUUUUUGUAAAAGAUGAGCUGUCUCGAUGGGUUUCUAGCCCGGCUAGCAUUCAGCUAACGAAUCAUUGAUCUACUCUCCGAGUAGAUCAAUGAUCUACUCUCCGAGUAGAUCAAUGAUUCGUCUUCGAUUUGGUCUUCGGAUACGGAUCAUUUUUUACGUGACCUGCGCUCAGAAGAGGAAACAGAAAGGAUUUGUUUACCUCGUUCACUUUCGCGUGGCUAGGUUUAGUAACACGUGAAUGAUAUUCCUUCAUAAGUAAUAAUUACAGGUUUCAUUAUUUUAACUUUUUCUUUCUUUAAAUACAUUGUAAUAAAUGUUGUCUCGUCUAAUCUGGUGUUUGAAAAUUAGAAAAUAUUUUUUGUUGAAUAUAGAAAAUGCAAAAUUGUAUAAACUUACUCACAGGUCUCUUGGGUGGACAUUUCAUUUUAUUUUCACUAAAUUAGACCAUAAUAUAUAAUUAUUAUCAUUCUCUUUGUUGCUUCAAGUGAAUUUGUUGUGCUUUUAGGAAGCUCGCUCUGUCUAAACACGUCUGUUUAUUAAUGUGUGGAACCUUCAACAUUUAAAACAUGUUAGUCAAUGAGGGCCGAUGAGCAUUAAAUAACUUACUGAUUCGCGGCGCAAACUCCCUGGAAGCGAAGGGCACCACCUGCCCGCUGUGCGAGGACCUCUCUGCCCCCGGGGGACAUCCACCCGGGGCGGCGGGACACUGCAUUCUAAAUGUGGCCGACAGAGGCGCGUCCUCCCGCGGGGCCGGAGUGGCACGCGUCGCCGCGGCGCGCGCGUCGGGCCGCCUCUCUCUGUCCCGGGGGUCAUCGGGGGCGAUCUUCAUCCGCCGCUGUACCGCCGUGAUGCGAGUCCGCUGCGUGACGAGGCCGCACUUCCAGCAUCCGCACGCGCGGAAGGGACACGACCCACUGUGGCCCUUGAGCGGCACGACGGUCCCGUGGUGGCGGCACCGGGUACAUUUGGGCACCCGCGGCGGACCGGGAGAAGGAGAAUGUCUGAUGUCUGUGGAUCAAGAUGAGGAUGAAGAUGUAGAGAUUGAAAAUCCACGCCUGGCCCGAUGAAGAGCACCCCACAAUGCACUCUGUGCUCGCCCAACCGUAACAUUUCUAAUGAUAUCAGUAUUUAAAGAAUUCUUCAGGUUAUUGUAGGGCAGUCUAAUUUCUAUGCCAUACAAUGUGACACAAACAAGCCCUUUAAAUUUACAUUUUUUGUGUGUAGAUUCUAUACAUACAGUGUUGGUGAUUCUUUGUUUAAUAUGUUCUAAUUGUUUUGGAUCCAUUUGUGGUUAAUGAUGUCAAAAUGAACACUUUCCAAAUGCCAUUGCUUGUUGGACUCAUUUGACUUAUUAUACACAAGAAAAAAACGUGAUGUUUCAGUACCUCGUAGCAUACUUCAGGUGUAUCUUAAGGUUACAGUUAAAUUAGCUCGUAUGUGCAUACAAGUAACUAAAUGUGUUCGCUU